UACAGAGGAGCCAAGCGUUGUCCGGAUUGACUGGGCGUAAAGCGCACGCAGGCGGAUGCGCGCGUGGGGUGUGAAAUCUGGCCGCUUAACGGCCAGGCGCCAUCCCAUACGGCGCGUCUGGAGUGAUGCAGAGGUCGGUGGAAUUGCCGGUGUAGUGGUGAAAUGCGUAGAGAUCGGCAGGAACACCCAGGGGGAAACCAGCCGACUGGGCAUCUACUGACGCUGAGGAGCGAAAGCGUGGGGAGCGAACAGG
rnacentral:rRNA from 1 species